GAAAGCAUACCCUCAUAAAGGUAUGAUUGGAACUGGCAGUGAAAUGUUGUGACAAAAAUUGUACACCUGUAGGGCUUUAUGAGGAAUCUUCCAGUGUAUAUGCUGUGACAGUCUAUACUAUUAUGUUCAUCACUUUUACAAAACUAUGAUAAAUUUUGUACAAAGUCAUAAUCUGCUGAAUAUUAUUGUCCUGGUAAAAUGUGUGACAACAUUCUAUGUAAUGUUACAAGAUUCUACUGUAUAAGAUUGUUAUAACAUGCUCUGAGGUUAAGAAAAGCAGGUCCAAACCAGUUCCUCAGAGACAAAGGCACACUAGCAUCCCCAGAUAGGUACCAACAAAGUCAUGUGGGCCUUGACUUAGUUAAGUGACCAUUCUCCAGCAGAGGGAAGAUGUGAACCAUCACAGGGAUGAUUCAGACCUCACAUCCCAUAAGAGACACAAGAGACUAUUUGUCACCUGCACCACAGCGGGGGGUAAUCCUCAAAGAGGGGAGAGUAGAGUGGUAUAAGAAUGAGAAACUGUGGCCUCCAAAUUACCACUGUCUCUCCCCAUUUCUAUUCAUGGCACCUACCACGCUUGAAAGACAAAGAAAGCAUCAUUGAACUGAGGGAAGUGUGGUCUUGACUGGAAGGCUUUUCAACCAGUACAGACUACUGUAAGAUUAUGAAGCCUAUGAUCAGAAAAGGAAAUCCAGACAGCACAACAGGUGUGCUUUUGCAAGCCUGGUGAAAUCUGCAAAUGAACUGAGAUCCAGACUAACACGGCUACCCAUCUGAUACUCAGUAGAGCUGAGUUCUAUUUCUGGUUCUACCAGUGACUUCAGACACAUCACAGGAUGACUAAGAACUGCCACUGUGUUGUGGCUGUGGAAAAAGGCUACUACAGUCCUAGGAUGCAUCAGUGUCAAAAGGAAGAUCACAGAUUGAAUGGGCAUGGGAACUGAUCAGCCUUCUCACCUUGGAGGUGGUCCUUCCAGGUGAAGUAGCAUGCACUGCUACUGUCCCCGUUCAGUGGAUAAAGUACAUCAAUAUAUAGGUGUCAAUCCAUUACCUUUUGUGAAAUUCAUUCCAAUUUUAAUAAAAGCAAACAACAAACAAGCUGCUAAAGCAAUUUAUUAUAAAGAGUUUUAGCAAGGAACUCCUCUUCUGCUAAAACAAAUAGCAGGAUUUUUCAUCAUGCC